rnacentral:lncRNA from 1 species
AGAUCAGAAAGAGCCACCAGCACAAAAGCAUCUCCCAGAGCCAACACAGGGACCUCCAAGUCCCAGUAUGUCUGGAAUUGGUUCCUUCCGGUGGGUUCUUGGUCUCGCUGGAGCCACAGACCUUCGGCUGCGGUGAGUGUUACAAUUCUUAAAAGAUGGCGUGUCCGGAGUUUGUUCCGUCAGAUGUUCAGAUGUGUCCGGAGUUUCUUCCUUCUGGUGGGUUCAUGGUCUUGCUGACUUCAGGAGUGAAGCCGCAGACCUUCACAGUGAGUGUUACAGCUCUUUGUUUUUUGAGACGGAGUCUCCCUCUCACCCAGGCCGGAGUGCAGUGGCGCGAUCUCGGCUCACUGCAAGCUCCACCUCCCAGGUUCAUGCAAUUCUCCUGCCUCAGCCUCCCGAGUAGCUGGGACUACAGGCGCCCGCCACUGCACCCGACUAAUUUUUUCUUUUUUUUGUACUUUUAGUAGAGAUAGGGUUUCACCGUGUUAGCCAGGAUGGUCAUGAUCUCCUGACCUGGUGAUCCGCCCACCUCGGCCUCCCAAAGUGCCGGGAUUACAGGCGUGAGCCACAGCGCCCGGCCAUGUUACAGCUCUUAAAGGUGGCACGUCCGACGUGCCACCUUUUUCGCAGGGAGUGUUACAGCUCUUAAAGGUGGCGCACCCAGAGUUGUUCGUUCCUCCUCGUGGGUUCAUGGUCUACGCCGACUUCAGGAGUGAAGCCGCAGACCUUUGCAGUGAGUGUUACAGCUCUUAAAGGUGGCACGUCCGGAGUUGUUCGUUCCUCCCGGACGGUUCGUGGUCUCGCUGACUUCAGGAGUGAAGCCACGACCUUCACAGUGAGUGUUACAGCUCUUUUUUUGUUUGUUUGUUUUUUGAGACGGAGUCUCGCUCUCACCUAGGCCGGAGUGCCGUCAAGCUCCCCCUCCCAGGUUCAUGCAAUUCUCCUGCCUCAGCCUCCCGAGUAGCUGGGACUACAGGCGCCCGCCACUGCGCCCGGCUAAUUUUUUCUUUUUUUUGUACUUUUAGUAGAGAUGGGGUUUCACCGUGUUAGCCAGGAUGGUUAUGAUCUCCUGACCUGGUGAUCCACCCAUCUCGGCCUCCCAAAGUGCCAGGAUUACAGGCGUGAGCCACCGCGCCCAGCCGUGUUACAGCUUUUUCACAGUGAGUGUUACAGCUCUUAAAGGUGGCACGUCCGACGUGCCACCUUUUUCACAGUGAGUGUUACAGCUCUUAAAGGUGGCGCACCCAGAGUUGUUCGUUCCUCCUCGUGGGUUCAUGGUCUACACUGACUUCAGGAAUGAAGCCUCAGACCUUCGCAGUGAGUGUUACAGCUCUUAAAGGUGGUGCGCGCGGCGUUCUUCAUUCUUCGCAGCGAGUGUUACAGCUCUUAAAGAUGGCAAGUGUUACAGCUCUUAAAGAUGGCAAGUGUUACAGCUCUUAAAGAUGGCAAGUGUUACAGCUCUUAAAGAUGGCAAGUGUUACAGCUCUUAAAGGUUGCACAUCCACAAUUGUUCCUUUCUCCCGGCGGGUGGCUUCGUGGUCUCACUGACUUCAGGAGUGAAACUGCACAUCUUUGCAGUAAGUGUUACAGCUCAUAAACGUCGCGUGGACCCAAAGAGCGAGCAGCAGCAAGCGAACGAAGAAAACCUCCAUGGCGUGGAAGGGUUCCGGAGUGGGUUAUCCGGGCUGGCUCCAGCAGCCAGCUUUUAUUCCCUUAUUUGGCCCCGCCCACAUCCUGCUGAUUGGUCCAUUUAACAGAGUGCGGAGUGGUGUGUUUUUACAGAGUGCUGAUUGGUGCGUUUAGCUAGACACAGCGCUGCUUUAGCUAGACACAGUGCUGCUUUAGCUAGACACAGCGCUGCUUGGUGCUAUUUUUACAGAGUGCUGAUUGGAGCAUUUACAAUCCUUUAGCUAGACACAGAGCACUGACUGAUGCAUUUACAAUCCUCUAGGCUAGACAGAAAAGUUCUCCAAGUCCCCACUGGACCCAGAAAGUCAAGCUGGCUUCACCUCUCACCAGCAAGCCUGAACUGGUGGCAUGUGGGGGACAACAGCAAAAAUUUGCAGGCUCAGGCAAGCCACCUAGCCCUAAAUGCCAGGUCCAGCUCUCACUAGUGGUGUAACCCUCAGAAGGCUCCCUGAGCUCUCUAGGACUAAGUUUUACAUCAACAAAAGUAGGUGCUAUUACCUCUACUCAAAGAUUUGUUAUUAGAAAAGAAAUUCUGGCCAGGUAUGGUGAUUCAUGCCUGUAAUUUCAGCACUUUAGGAGGCAGAGGUAGGAGGACUACUUGAAGUCAGGAGUUUGAGAUCACCCUGGUCAACACUGCAAUAUUCUGUUUCUACAAACUUUUUUUUAACAAAGAAGUGCCUAGUCUGUGCUAGUGCCUUUUUACACAGUACUGAGAAUGUACCCGAGAACACAUUAUUCUCUUUCCUCCCUGAAAGCCACCAGGCAAAUGGCCACAGGACUUGGUAUACUCUUCAAUCAGCCAGCCCCUCAAUAGGACCUUUUCUGACAAAGGUGUUCUCUAAAAAUCCCUGUUCUCCUACCCCUAUGUGGCAAGGCCCAUCUUAGGUGAAAGGUGUCAGGCCUCUGAGCCCAAGCUAAGCCAUCAUAUCCCCUGUGACCUGCAUGUACACAUCCAGAUGGCCGGUUCCUGCCUUAACUGAUGACAUUCCACCACAAAAGAAGUGAAAAUGGCCUGUUCCUGCCUUAACUGAUGACAUUGUCUUGUGAAAUUCCUUCUCCUGGCUCAUCCUGGCUCAAAAGCUCCCCUACUGAGCACCUUGUGACCCCCACUCUGCCCACCAGAGAACAACCCCCCCUUUGACUGUAAUUUUCCUUUACCUACCCAAAUCCUAUAAAACGGCCCCACCCCUAUCUCCCUUCGCUGACUCUCUUUUCGGACUCAGCCCGCCUGCACCCAGGUGAAAUAAACAGCCAUGUUGCUCACACAAAGCCUGUUUGGUGGUCUCUUCACACGGACGCACAUGAAAUUUGGUGCCGUGACUCAGAUCGGGGGACCUCCCUUGGGAGAUCAAUCCCCUGUCCUCCUGCUCUUUGCGAAAGAUCCACCUACGACCUCAGGUCCUCGGACCGACCAGCCCAAGAAACAUCUCACCAAUUUCAAAUCCGGUAAGCGGCCUCUUUUUACUCUCUUCUCCAACCUCCCUCACUAUCCCUCAGCCUCUCUCCUUUCAAUCUUGGCGCCACACUUCAAUCUCUCCCUUCUUUUAAUUUCAAUUCCUUUCAUUUUCUGGUAGAGAUAAAGGAGACACGUUUUAUCCACGGACUCAAAACUCCGGCGCCGGUCACAGACUAGGGAAGGCAGCCUUCCCUUGGUGUUUAAUCAUUGCAGGGACACCUCUGAUUAUUCUACCGGGUUUCAGAGGUGUCAGACCACGCAGGGAUGCCUGCCUUGGUCCUUCACCCUUAGCGGCAAGUCCUGCUUUUCUGGGGAAGGGGCAAGUACCCUAAUCCCUUCUCUCCGUGUCUCUAUCCCUUCUCCGCCUUUCUGGGGGGCAAGAAACCCCCAACCCCUUCUCCUUCACACUUAGCGGCAAGUCCCACUUUUCUAGAGGAGGGGCAUGUACCCCAACCUCUUAUAUCUCUGUGCCCCAAUCCCUUAUUUCUGUGCCCCGACCUCUUAUCUCUGCACCCCAAUCCCUUAUUUCUGUGCCCUGACCUAUCUCUGCACCCCAAUCCCUUAUUUCUGUGCCCUGACCUCUUAUCUCUGCACCCCAAUCCCUUAUUUCUGUGCCCUGACCUCUUAUCUCUGCACCCCAAUCCCUUAUUUCUGUGCCCUGACCUCUUAUCUCUGCACCCCAUCCCUUAUUUCCGUGCCCCGACCUCUUAUCUCUGCAACCCGACCUCUUAUCUCUGCAUCCCAACCCCUUAUUUCCACGCCCCAACCCCUUUCCCGCUUUUCUGGAAGGUAAGAACCCCUGAACCCCUUCCCUCCGUGUCUCUACUCUCUUUUCUCUAGGCUUGCUUCCUUCACUAUGGGCAACCUUCCACCCUCCAUUCCUCCUUCUUCUCCCUUAGCCUGUGUCCUCAAAAAACUUAAAACCUCUUCAAUUCUCACCUGACCUAAAAUCUAAGCAUCUUAUUUUCUUCUGCAGUGCUGCUUGACCCCAAUACAAACUCGACAGUAGUUCCAAAUAGCCGGAAAAUGGCACUUUCAAUUUUUCCAUCCUACAAGAUCUAAAUAAUUCUUGUCGUACAAUGGGCAAAUGGUCUGAGGUGCCUGACAUCCAGGCAUUCUUUUACACAUCGGUCCCUCUCUAGUCUCUGUUCCCAAUGCAACUCGUCCCAAAUCUUCCUCCUUUCCCUCCCGCCUGUCCCCUCAGUCCCAACCCCAAGCGUCGCUGAGUCUUUCUAAUCUUCCUUUUCUACAGACUCAUCUGACCUCUCCCCUCCUCCCCAGGCUGCUCCUCGCCAGGCCGAGCUAGGUCCCAAUUCUUUCUCAGCCUCCGCUCCUCCACCCUAUAAUCCUUUUAUCACCUCCCCUCCUCACACACAGUCUGGCUUACAGUUUCGUUCCGUGACUAGCCCUCCCCACCUGCCCAGCAAUUUACUCUUAAAAAGGUGGCUGGAGCUAAAGGCAUAGUCAAGGUUAAUGCUCCUUUUUCUUUAUCCCAAAUCGGAUAGCGUUUAGGCUCUUUUUCAUCAAAUAUAAAAAUCCAGCCCAGUUCAUGGCUCGUUUGGCAGCAACCCUGAGACGCUUUACAGCCCUAGACCCUAAAAGUUCAAAAGGCCGUCUUAUUCUCAAAAUACACUUUAUUACCCAAUCUGCUCCCGACAUUAAAGAAAACUCCAAAAAUUAAAUUCCAGCCCUCAAACCCCACAACAGGAUUUAAUUAACCUCGCCUUCAAGGUGUACAAUAAUAGAGAAAAGUUGCAAUUCCUUGCCUCCACUGUGAGACAAACCCCAGCCACAUCUCCAGCACACAAGAACUUCCAAACGCCUGAACCGCAGCAGCCAGGCGUUCCUCCAGAACCUCCUCCCCCAGGAGCUUGCUACAAGUGCCAGAAAUCUGGCCACCAGGCCAAGGAAUGCCUGCAGCCCAGGAUUCCUCCUAAGCUGAGUCCCAUCUGUGCGGGACCCCACUGGAAAUCGGACUGUCUAACUCACCUGGCAGCCACUCCCAGCGCCCCUGGAAUUCUGGCCCAAGGCUCUCUGACUGCUUCCCACAUCUUCUUGGCUUAGCGGCUGAAGACUGAUGCUGCCCGAUCGCCUCGGAAGCCCCCUACAAGACCAUCACGGAUGCCGAGCUUCGCGUAACUCUCACAGUGGAGGGUACACAUCCAGAUGGCCGGUUCCUGCCUUAACUGAUGACAUUCUACCACAAAAGAAGUGAAAAUGGCCUGUUCCUGCCUUAACUGAUGACAUUGCCUUGUGAAAUUCCUUCUCCUAGCUCAUCCUGGCUCAAAAGCUCCCCUACUGAGCACCUUGUGACCCCUACUCUGCCCGCCAGAGAACAAACCAACCCCUCUUUGACUGUAAUUUUCCUUUACCUACCCAAAUCCUAUAAAACGGCCCCACCCCUAUCUCCCUUCGCUGACUCUCUUUUCGGACUCAGCCCGCCUGCACCCAGGUGAAAUAAACAGCCAUGUUGCUCAAACAAAGCCUGUUUGGUGGUCUCUUCACACGGACGCACAUGAAAAAAGGCAAGGAAAAAAAACCAGGAGAAACUGGGCACAGGGAGCGACAAGCCCUCACUCCUGGUGCAGAGGCCAGGAACUGCCAGCUUCUUCCUGGAACGUUUGUGAGCAUCCUUUCUGUUCACUGUAUUGUAACAAUCGUAAUAACACUCCAUUCCAUAACACUCAGCCCUCAUAUUACAUCAUUCAUUCCAAAACACUGGAAAAAUGUGAAUGCGUCUUCACAAUGCCUCCAAAAGCCAUAAGAAAUUAUGUUUCAAAAACACCAAAAACCAAGGACAUAAAAGUACUGGAGGUUUCCAAAAGAAUCACAGAUUUCAAGGGUCAAUGCAGGCACAGAACAGCUUAAGAAUAAACACCUACCUUGCCAAAGUCUCCUGUUCAUUGCUGGGGAAACCAACAAGAGCAAUGAAAACAUACCCCUGGGCCAGCCAGCCAGCGGGUGCUGGAGAGGGCCUCGCUGUUGGUGGCUUCCCAGACAGCUGUGGGAACUCUGAACCGAUCUCCUCCCUCCCAGUAAACUCCCCCAUAGCAACUCCUAAGUUCUGCACUGGCAACAACACCCUUUCCCUCGUCUUACCCAGCCCCCUCCUUCCUGCACUUCCCUCCUUCCUGGUCUUUGUCCUUCAGAGGUGACAUGCAGGCUCUCUAGGCUGUCCAACAGGCAGCUCACAGUUCUCAGCAGGCCCAGCUGUGAACUACACCCCACAGCAGCUCCAGUUUGGAGAAUGUAAUGGACAGCUUGGGAGCACUAAUGCAUUUCUGCUAUCACUUGUCAUUUUAAAGAGUGACACACAUUUUCUCUCUCUUCUUAAACCCCACAUUACCCUCCAUCUUUCUUCUCCAUCUCUGACUCAGUUCUCAGAGCAUGUGCCCUUGAUGACACUCACCAGAGACGAGCAAAUGCUAGUGAAGGUGGCACUGUUACAAAACAGCAUCCCAUCUGAGCCCGAGUCAUUCUCCAGCCACGAGGAUCCUCAACCUCCUUUUCACAGAUUCCUAUGCUGAAACUGAAUCUUCAAUCCAAUGGCAUUAGGAGGCAGGGCCUUUGGGAGGUGAUUAGGUCAUAAGGGUGCAGCCUUCAUGAAUGCGAUUAGUGCCCUCACAAGAGAGGUUCCAAGGAGCCUGUAUGCCUCUUCCACCAUAUGAAGAUGCAGCAAGAAAGCACCACCUAUGAGGAACGGUGAAACUAGACACUAAAUCAGCCAACACCUUGAUUUUGGAAUUCCAGCCUCCAGAACUGUGAGCAAUUUUCUGUUGUUUAUACACCAGUCAGUUUAUGGUAUUUUAUGCUAGCAGACUAAACAGACUCAGACAAAGAGCAUUAAGGAGUGAGUUUAACAGCGAUACAACCAGCU